UGGGAGUCUCUCUGCAGCAUCAGUGCAUGAAAGAGUGAAUGACAUGAGUGGAGUUUGUUCUGCUGCUACUUCCUGAAUGUUUGCAGUUCAGAGCUGACUGCUUUCAUCAGGAAACAGUGAAGUCUGCUCAGUUAGUUUGAUCUCUAAAGAUGUCCACACAAACUGAAGCUGCAGCAGAUUGGAGAGGGAAAUUUAGCAGAAAUCUUCAUCCAGAUGGAAGAGAACAAAGUGAGGUGGAGAUGUUAGAUGAUGAAGAGCAGCACUCUGAUCAUGGAUUACAACAAACUGAAAAUCAGAAGCAGAAGAAUCUUCAAGCUGAGAGAAGAAACUGUUUCAGAGUUUUCAAGUUUUCUCUGGGAGUUUUCUGUUUUCUGAUUCUGGCUGGACUCAUGACUCGCCAUCUGCUGGUGUCUUUGGAAAAGAACAGACUGAAAACCAGUAACAAUCACCUGCAGACUGAGCUUUCAGGUA